UGGUGGGUUGCCUUGUCAGGUUGAUUCCGGUAACGAACGAGACCUCAGCCUGCUAACUAGUCACGCCUUCUCCGGAAGGCGGCGAACUUCUUAGAGGGACUAUUGGCGAUUAGCCAAUGGAAGCAUGAGGCAAUAACA
rnacentral:rRNA from 1 species